rnacentral:rRNA from 1 species
AGAGUUUGAUCCUGGCUCAGGACGAACGCUGGCGGCGCGCCUAACACAUGCAAGUCGAACGAGCGAGAGAGAGCUUGCUUUCUCAAGCGAGUGGCGAACGGGUGAGUAACGCGUGAGGAACCUGCCUCAAAGAGGGGGACAACAGUUGGAAACGACUGCUAAUACCGCAUAAGCCCACAGCUCGGCAUCGAGCAGAGGGAAAAGGAGCAAUCCGCUUUGAGAUGGCCUCGCGUCCGAUUAGCUAGUUGGUGAGGUAAUGGCCCACCAAGGCGACGAUCGGUAGCCGGACUGAGAGGUUGAACGGCCACAUUGGGACUGAGACACGGCCCAGACUCCUACGGGAGGCAGCAGUGGGGAAUAUUGCACAAUGGGGGAAACCCUGAUGCAGCGACGCCGCGUGGAGGAAGAAGGUCUUCGGAUUGUAAACUCCUGUUGUUGAGGAAGAUAAUGACGGUACUCAACAAGGAAGUGACGGCUAACUACGUGCCAGCAGCCGCGGUAAAACGUAGGUCACAAGCGUUGUCCGGAAUUACUGGGUGUAAAGGGAGCGCAGGCGGGAAGACAAGUUGGAAGUGAAAUCUAUGGGCUCAACCCAUAAACUGCUUUCAAAACUGUUUUUCUUGAGUAGUGCANAGGUAGGCGGAAUUCCCGGUGUAGCGGUGGAAUGCGUAGAUAUCGGGAGGAACACCAGUGGCGAAGGCGGGCUACUGGGCACCAACUGACGCUGAGGCUCGAAAGUGUGGGUAGCAACAGGAUUAGAUACNCUGGUAGUCCACACCGUAAACGAUGAUUACUAGGUGUUGGAGGAUUGACCCCUUCAGUGCCGCAGUUAACACAAUAAGUAAUCCACCUGGGGAGUACGACCGCAAGGUUGAAACUCAAAGGAAUUGACGGGGGCCCGCACAAGCAGUGGAGUAUGUGGUUUAAUUCGACGCAACGCGAAGAACCUUACCAAGUCUUGACAUCCUGCGACGCACAUAGAAAUAUGUGUUUCCUUCGGGACGCAGAGACAGGUGGUGCAUGGUUGUCGUCAGCUCGUGUCGUGAGAUGUUGGGUUAAGUCCCGCAACGAGCGCAACCCUUACUGUCAGUUACUACGCAAGAGGACUCUGGCAGGACUGCCGUUGACAAAACGGAGGAAGGUGGGGAUGACGUCAAAUCAUCAUGCCCUUUAUGACUUGGGCUACACACGUACUACAAUGGCGUUAAACAAAGAGAAGCAAGACCGCGAGGUGGAGCAAAACUCAGAAACAACGUCCCAGUUCGGACUGCAGGCUGCAACUCGCCUGCACGAAGUCGGAAUUGCUAGUAAUCGUGGAUCAGCAUGCCACGGUGAAUACGUUCCCGGGCCUUGUACACACCGCCCGUC